CCCCUAGAUGUUCUGGGCCGCACGCGCGCUACACUGAACAGUUCAACAAGUCUUAACCUUGGCCGAUAGGUCUGGGUAAUCUUUGAACGCUGUUCGUGAUUGGGAUAGACCUUUGCAAUUAUGGGUCUUCAACGAGGAAUUCCUAGUAAACGCAAGUCAUCAGCUUGCAUUGAUUACGUCCCUGCCCUUUGUACACACCGCCCGUCGCACCUACCGAUUGAAUGGUCCGGUGAAAUCUCGGGACGGCGGCUUGGUCGCUUGCGUCCGACUGCUGAAACUUGAUUAAACCAUAUCAUUUGGAGGAAGGUGAAGUCGUANCA
rnacentral:rRNA from 1 species